UACAGAGGGUGCAAGCGUUAAUCGGAGUUACUGGGCGUAAAGGGCGCGUAGGCGGUUUUGAAAGUAAGAUGUGAAAGCCCUGGGCUUAACCUAGGAACAGCAUUUUAAACUACAAGACUAGAGUACAGUAGAGGGUGGCGGAAUUUCCGGUGUAGCGGUGAAAUGCGUAGAGAUCGGAAGGAACAUCAGUGGCGAAGGCGGCCACCUGGACUGUGUCUGACGCUGAGGCGCGAGAGCGUGGGGAGCAAACAGG
rnacentral:rRNA from 1 species